rnacentral:rRNA from 1 species
UACGUAGGGCGCAAGCGUUGUCCGGAAUUAUUGGGCGUAAAGAGCUCGUAGGCGGUUUGUUGCGUCGGCUGUGAAAUCCCGAGGCUCAACCUCGGGUCUGCAGUCGAUACGAGCAAACUAGAGUGUUGCAGGGGAGACUGGAAUUCCUGGUGUAGCGGUGAAAUGCGCAGAUAUCAGGAGGAACACCGGUGGCGAAGGCGGGUCUCUGGGCAACAACUGACGCUGGAGGAGCGAAAGCCGUGGGGAGCGAACAGG